rnacentral:sRNA from 1 species
AUAAUAGCCCCUGGUGAAGGGAGUUGACUUGGUCAAUUUAGGUUUUAACCCUUAUUUCUUGAUUGGCCACAACGCAUAGUUGAACCAUGGUGAACCAAGGGGCAAACGAGGCUGAACGAGGUGCUGACCUAGAGUUGAAUCAAAGGUGUUGGGUCUUAAGCUUAUUGGAGCUAGGUUCGAAACGUGGCUGGCGCUGAGCGAAUGCAGUGGCACUUGAAGUCGCUGAUACAGAGGCGUGGAUGAGACCUAGGUUCAAGUUUUUCUUCUUCCUUCUUAUGGUUCCCUGUUUCAAUUAAAAGGGUAUAUAGAUAGAGUUAGGGAAGCUGAUGGGAGACUGACAAAUUUUCCCGUUUUCUUUCUUCUUGUAAGUCUUCUUUAUUCUUAGAAUAGAGUGAGAAUAGGGUGUGAUUGAUUCAGUAGGAGAUUCAACCAAGUAGAGUAGGAAAAUUCCCACCGAGCGCAAAAUAGCCACCGGUGGAGAGAGGUUCUACAGUGCGAGUGAACAUUGCAAACGAGAGUUCUUGCGAGUACAAAGUGAUAUCAAGACACGCUUUGAGUCUGUCUGCAGCCAUUUCAAUUUCUAGUUUUGUGCAUUUCUUGAUACCCAAAUCGUAGAUAUGAAGUCCUGCGCAUUUUCUGGUUUAGGUAGGUAUCUUUAAUUCAUUUCAUUAUGCACAUAAUCUGAUAUAAUCAUUUGUUUAAGAGCUGAAUUUACAUAUCACUCAUAACUUGCAUUUGCAGAGUAGGUAACACUGCACAUGCAUUUGCAUUAGAAUCAUAAUUGUAGUUUCUGAUUCAGCUUGGCUUAGUUUGAAUUGUCCUUGUUUUCAUGCAUGUAUUCAGCACCCAUUUAGAGUUUAUGCAUUCUUUAUGUUUUUUGCAUUAAAUAGAAGUCGGUAGGUUCAUUUUACAGUCAAAAUACCAUAAUUGCAUCAUAGUUGACAGUUAAAUCUGCAGCAACUCUGGUUUCACUUUUUGAUUCAUAAUGGUCUCACGGUAUUGCAUUCAAAGCUACUAUUAAGUUGCAUUUCAUGAACCCAUGAAUAGCAUCGAAAAGUAGUAUUCGACUUUCAAAAAUUCCAGCAUCAUUUGCGCUUGUUCAAUCUGGAUUAUUGCAUUCUACACAUCAUGGCUGCAACACAGAAUUUGAAUUUGUAUUCUUGAGUUAAGCUGUCACGUAGAUCUUAGGAUAAAGAAAUCAUUUUAGAUUUUGU